UUUAUUUAUUUAUUUAUACGGGCAAGCCCAAUUCGGUAAUACAUUAAUAAGAUAUUGAUAAUUACAGUGUUGAAUAUAUAAGAAUAAAAUGAGAGAGUACAAAACAUUUAAAAAGACAUGACAAAGUAAAAUAAUUACAAAACAUUAAUUACUAACAAAUAACAAGGUUAUGACAUUGCUAAAUAUUUAAUUUGGUUAAAUGGUUCUUAAAAACAUCAACAGAGUUACCAAAAAGUAAAAGGUCACCUAGGGAGUUAGCAAGUCUUAGGCCCGUAUUUAUAGUCGAGUCUCAAGAUAGCGUCGAUGCUCAAGACCGACCUUGAACCAAAUUUGUGUUUUAUAAAACGAUCUCGAGACACGACGCUGUCUUGGGAAGUGUAAAAUGACAGCCGAAUCUCAAGUCAUCGAUCGACCUUCCUCAAGACCGCGAUUCUAACCUAACUUUGUUUGUUAUUGUUUGAAUUUUGAAUAUUUUUAAUUCAGUUUUAACAUAUAUUUUUUGUUUUUCUAAUUACAAUAAAAAUGUAUGAAGAAGUAAAAGCAUUUUUAGAGUUUAUUGAUAAUAUUGGAGAAGAAAAUCGCCCGGGAAGUAUACAAAAGCGAUAUAUUCAAGAUAAAAAUAUAAUCUAAAAUACAAUGGAGUAUUACAAUAUUGAAGUUCAUUAGCGAAUCAGCGCAUUAACUUAAACAACAAAGGUUUUAUGCUACUUAUAGGAAUAUAACCAGUUUUUAUGAGGAAGCCCACUUUCCAAAAAUGUACAGGUACUAGAAGAGAAAUUACUGUUCAACUGAGAAUUAUGUAUAUUACUGUUCAACAACAAGUUUAUCAAGUCAUUCAAUAUUUGAUCUAAGAGCAUUAAGAGUGAAAUUGUGAAAUGGAAAGAAGUGAAAUUCCAGGAUUAUUAAUAGGAAUAGAUGACAGUAGUGGGUAUGCAUGCAGACACUAUCUGCUUACCCCAGUAUUACAGCCAGGUAAUGAUCAAGAAAAUAAGAUAUUUUUACCAUAGUACUCAUGUGAGAACAAGAAAUGUAGAAAAGCUAUUUGGAACCUGGAAAAGAGAGUUUCCUUGUCUUCAACAAGGUCUACAAACCAAAUUAUAUACAUGUCUUGCAAUAAUAUGUGCUACAGCAGUACCUUACAAUCUAGGUAAAUAAUGAUCUGGUGGUAAAUAGACAUGUUAAUGAUGUGGAACAAUCUCUAAAUUUUUGGUGACAUUUUUUUCAACAAUAUUUUGCAUGAGAAUACAUUAUUGAAUACCUACUCUUAUUGUGUUUGAUUUUUUUGUCUAUUAUUUCUCAAAAUGUUAUCAUGAUCAUUGUUCGACAACCCUUUUUGUUCGAGUUUUGGUCUCUUGAGGAAUACAGCUCCAUUCCAAUCUAUUUCAGGAUUUGUUCUUGCAAUUUUUUAUUUUUAAAAUAUCAAUGUCUUAUUCUAUUUGUUCCUUAUAUCUAAUCUAUAGUCUUUCUCUCGUUAUAUGUCCAGCUGACAUUUGUGUGUUUAUUUUGGAAAGUAUUUCAUAUGCUUCCAUCCUUCCUCUUAGACAGUGGUCCUAUUUUGAUGAAAGUAUAUGGAUCGUGGUAUGCCCUGUAUAGUUCAAAAUUGUAUCUUCUCUGGUCUUCAUAUUUUAGAUGCUAUUUAGCCUGAUUCUAGUGCUUUAUCGUUGUUUCCAGUGCUUUAUCAAUUUAUCAUCAUUUAUUUUACCUACCUGUCUACUGCUACUCUACUAUUGUACUUUCACCAUAUAUAUUUUUGGAAUAUAAAUAUAUAGUAACCUGUCUUUCUCUUGUUCAACUGGAAUUUGUUUAUUUAUUCUGAGAAUACAUUAUUGAAUCUGUAUUAUGAUAUAUUUUUUAUUUUAUUUCUUAAUAUGUAUUUUUUAUAUUUUAUUUUAAAAUAAAUGAGUAUGAGUUUCCCUCUUCUUAAA